AUUGAACGCUGGCGGCAGGCUUAACGCAUGCAAGUCGAGCGGUAACAGAGAGAAGCUUGCUUCUCUGCUGACGAGCGGCGGACGGGUGAGUAAUGCCUAGGAAUCUGCCUAGUAGUGGGGGAUAACUUGCCGAAAGGUAAGCUAAUACCGCAUACGUCCUACGGGAGAAAGGAGGGGACCUUCGGGCCUUUCGCUAUUAGAUGAGCCUAGGUCGGAUUAGUUAGUUGGUGAGGUAAUGGCUCACCAAGACCGCGAUCCGUAACUGGUCUGAGAGGAUGAUCAGUCACACUGGAACUGAGACACGGUCCAGACUCCUACGGGAGGCAGCAGUGGGGAAUAUUGGACAAUGGGGGGAACCCUCAUCCAGCCAUGCCGCGUGUGUGAAGAAGGUCUUAGGAUUGUAAAGCACUUUAAGUUGGGAGGAAGAGCAGUUAACUAAUAUUUGACUGUUUUGACGUUACCGACAGAAUAAGCACCGGCUAACUUCGUGCCAACCGCCGCGGUAA
rnacentral:rRNA from 1 species